rnacentral:tRNA from 1 species
GGUCCUGUGGUCUAGUGGUAUGAUUCUCGCUUAGGGACUAGCGUCCAGCACUAAGCACUCUUGCGAGAGGCCCCGCGUUCGAGUCGCGGCAGGACCC